UAUCCGUCCAAAAGUAAUUGCCGGUUUUGCCAUUGAAAGUAAUGGCACAUUUGGCUAGUUGUUUUGUUUUUGCUUUCAUUCAUGUUUUUUUUAAUAUGGUAGUUGGAGUCUUCCUGUUGCCCAGGCCUCCCAAAAUGCUAGGAUUACAGGCGUGAGCCAUCGCUCCUGGCCUAGGAGGUCACUGUGAUACCCUGUCUGAAGGGGAUGGGGCCUGGACAGAGCAGAGGCUAUGAUGGGAGCCCCCUCUUCCCUUCCCGUCUACGACUCUCAUUGCCCUUGCCCAGUUUUCUCCGCUUCCAUUUAUUUUUCGUUUAUUUAUUUAUUUUUAGAGAUAGGUUCUCACUCUGUUAUCCAGGCUGGAAUGCAGUGGCGUGAUCAUAGCUCACUGCAGCCUCCACUCCUGGGCACAAGUGUCCUCUCACCUCAGCCUUACAAGUAGCUGGGACUAUAUGCAUGGGCCACCACGCCAGGCUAUUUGUUUUAUUAUUGAGUAGAGAUGGGGGUCUCCCUGUGUUGCCCAGGCUGUGUCAAACUCCUGGCCUCAAGCAUCCUCGCACCUUGCCCUUCCAAAGUGCUGGGAUUACAGGCCACCCUGCCCUGCCUCUCCAGUCCCUGACUGUCCCCACUGGCCAGCCCCGAAAGCCCAGCAACGAGGGAGCCAGGCUGGGGCAGGAAACACACAGCAGCCUCCUCUCGCGCCCACUUUAUUAGGGGGCAGGUGUGGGAGGACCUAGGCCUGCUGUGCCUGCAGUAGCGCCCGCACCUGGCGGAUCUGCCAGUCGACGCUGGAGCGCGCAGUGCCGCCCAGGGCACCAUACUGCUCCACACUGUGCCCGUAGUCCCACACGCAGAUCACGUCGCCCGAGAACAGGGG
rnacentral:lncRNA from 1 species